rnacentral:rRNA from 1 species
UACGAAGGGGGCUAGCGUUGUUCGGAAUCACUGGGCGUAAAGCGCACGCAGGCGGAUUGAUAAGUCAGGGGUGAAAUCCCGGGGCUCAACCUCGGAAUUGCCUUUGAUACUGUCUGUCUUGAGUUCGGGAGAGGUUGGCGGAAUUCCUAGUGUAGAGGUGAAAUUCGUAGAUAUUAGGAAGAACACCAGUGGCGAAGGCGGCUUACUGGUCCGGUACUGACGCUGAGGUGCGAAAGCGUGGGGAGCAAACAGG